rnacentral:rRNA from 1 species
ACUGCUCAGUAACACGUGGAUAACCUGCCCUGAGGUGGGGCAUAACCCCGGGAAACUGGGGAUAAUACCCCAUAGGAUACCGUGACUGGAAUGUUUGGUAUCCCAAAGCCCCGGCGCCUCAGGAUGGAUCUGCGGCCGAUUAGGUAGUUGUUGGGGUAACGGCCCAACAAGCCUGUAAUCGGUACGGGUUGUGGGAGCAAGAGCCCGGAGAUGGACUCUGAGACACGAGUCCAUGCCCUACGGGGCGCAGCAGGCGCGAAUACUUUACAAUGCAGGCAACUGUGAUAAGGG